rnacentral:tmRNA from 1 species
GGGACUGUUAGGUUUCUACAUGUUAAUAUUUUCUAGAAGGUUAUCAUUUCGUUGAUUAUAAUAAUUAUGCGAAAUUAAAACAAAUGCAAAAAAUCAAAUUAUACCUUUCUCUCGAAGUUUAGUUACUGCUUAAUUAAAAUAUGCAUAUUAUUUAGUUAAGUUUUCUAUUCAUUGAGUAUCAACUAAUAUAAUUACACUGAAUUGUUGAUAAUUUAUUAAAGUGUUGCCCUUAAAUAACUGGCAAGUUGAAAUAUUUGACAGGUUUAGGUAAAGUUAAAUACAUAAAUUCAAUCUAUGUUUUUCUAAAUCUAAUUACUAGGUACCUUCUGAGAUAUUUUUAUUAACAUGGACGUGGGUUCGAGUCCCACCAGUUCCA